rnacentral:sRNA from 12 species
UCCCGAGCUGCAACGCCAAAAAAGGUAGUUGCAGGAAGGGGCUACACGCCCUGCCAUCACGGCAAGAGCCUGCAGCAAGCAGCAUUGCUAUGAAAUACAGCCAUGACAGCAAGUAGUGAAAACGAACGUUUGAAAUGGCAGUGAAAAGUAAACGGUGCGCGGGGCUACUGAGC